UAAUAGUGUUAAAAUAUUAUAAAAAACUAAGGUCUUCAUUUGUUCUUACUUGGGUUUUUUUUUAUAGCAUUUAUUCUGGUUUCCCAAAAUAGUUUUCUGUUAGAUCCCGUUAAAUUGUCAUUGAUAUAAUUUCUUGAUCCUUUGCAUUCUAGUUUUUCGCGUUUUUUUAUAAAUUUGUUAAGUUUUCGUUUAGAUAAAAGUUCAACCAUUUUCAAAGGCGAUUCUAGGUUUUGAUUCG